GGUGUACAGCGGUUGUGUUGCCAUGACCUGGACAUUAAAAAACGACAUAUCGCCGACUGCUUCGUAUUUUAAGAUUAUAGAGUAUUUGGUAUUUUUGGAAUAAUUGUUAAGAUAACGACGGAAGCGUAGUGUUAAAAGUGAAAUUGUGGAAAACGUAACACGUAACGUAUAAGACGUUAUAUUCAAUUACGCCACAAAAAUCUUGCUAUGUACAUACUUUGUUUCCUUUUUCGCACACAGUAGAGAAGGCUUUUAAAAUACCAUAAAGGAUAUAAUUGUAUUUGUAUUUGUAAAUAUAUUAUCUUUUAAUUUGUUAUACAUACGUUUUUUAAGUAUAUAAUUAAUACAUUGGCUUGCCGAUUGCCAGUGCUUUAAAUGGCCUAGAUCAUGCACAGUGAUCCAAUUUAAGAGCGACUGGAAAAUAUUUCGGUAAGCAACCGAACUAAUGUGAAGUCGGAGCUACGCCCAAGAACACAUCGGUCACCACAUGGGAAUUCUCCGGGGCGACUGAGAUUCUGGUUCAGUUGCAGCCAACAAAUGACGUCGCAUAUCGCUAGUUCUAGUGUUCUAGAACUAACUAAAAUUAUUUGUUAGUAUACAUUAUUAAUAUACCUUAAUAGAAUAUUGUGAGUUGAUCCGGAGUCAGAAAAGUGAGUGAGAAUUGUCCUCGUCGUACCGCCACACCUGAAUUUGUAGCGAAUUUUCGAAGUGGACCGUAUAUACAAGCACCGCGCUGUUUGUAGCUUUCUAACUUACACAUUCCACUGUGACCAAUCUCCAGCAGCAGUCGGCGAUCAAAGGCUGACGAAAUGAUAACGGCGUAGACAAACGCGGAGGAGAGCUGGAAAGUGGUGGACAACCCCAUUCCCUUUGGAGUUUCUACAGCGACAAAACCAUUGUCAGCGAAGAAACUUCUAUCGGGAGAAGCGAAGGAGUGGUACUGGGUUCACGUUCGCUCAUCCAGAGGGGAUACCUGGGCACAGCUGCGCAGGGCUCGGUUGAAUCGGUACCGGGGUCAUCAGACGAAGUACGAGAGCAUGCACGAGCUACUCAAACAGCUCGAACACCAGUCCGAGCAAAACGGUGUUGACUACCUUCAUUCCAUGCAGCAACCAGCUGCAACCAGCAACCAACGAGAAAAAUAUCCAGUGAGCUAAUCGAGAACGGAAGUGAUUCUCUUACACAAGAAUCACGAAUACAAUUACAAA